UCUCCGAGGCUGCCCGUGGGGCGGGAGCCGCUCUGCAAAGCUCUGGGCAGAGGCAAAGCCUGAAGACGCCGCGGUUGACGCCCACUCCCCUAGGCUCGGCCCCUGCGGCCACACGGAAAGACACCCAUUCCUCUCCCCAUCCCAUCACGGCCCAAUCUGGAGCGCCCACCGCUGCCCUCCGCGCGAGACCCCGACUCACCGCUCCCCAGGCCCCCGACUUCCGCGGUUACCAUGGCGACGGCGCAUCCGCGCGCGGUAGCACCGCCCCGAGCGCCGUGGUUCCGGCGGCGCGCGAGGGUCGAGGUCGGCAGUGAGAAGACAGCCAUCAACAACCCAGGAAGAAAACUCACCAAUAACCAAAUCAGCUAACACCUUGAUCUUGGACUUCCCAGCCUCCAGAACUAAACAACUGGACAAAUAUGUUAACCCCAAUGAAGAACACCUAAAGAAAAUCUGAUUAAAUUCAUGCUUAAGCCUAGCAGUUAUCAGGAAACCAGCAACAGUCUUUCACUUAUAUUAUUAUACUUGUACCCC